rnacentral:rRNA from 1 species
GAUUAACGCUAGCGGCAGGCCUAAUACAUGCAAGUCGAACGGUAAAUAGGUAGCAAUAUCUAUGAGAGUGGCGCACGGGUGAGUAACGCGUAUGCAACCUACCUUUAACUGGGGGAUAGCUCCGAGAAAUCGGGAUUAAUACCGCAUAAUAUUAUCGAAUGGCAUCAUUUGAUAAUCAAAACUCUGGUGGUUAAAGAUGGGCAUGCGUGACAUUAGUUAGGGCGAGGUAACGGCUCACC